rnacentral:rRNA from 1 species
GAUGAACGCUGGCGGCGUGCCUAAUACAUGCAAGUCGAGCGAACAGACGAGGAGCUUGCUCCUCUGACGUUAGCGGCGGACGGGUGAGUAACACGUGGAUAACCUACCUAUAAGACUGGGAUAACUUCGGGAAACCGGAGCUAAUACCGGAUAAUAUAUUGAACCGCUUGGUUCAAUAGUUCAAGACGGUUUUGCUGUUACUUAUAGAUGGAUCCGCGCCGGAUUAGCUAGUUGGUAAGGUAACGGCUUACCAAGGCAACGAUGCGUAGCCGACCUGAGAGGUUGAUCGGCCACACUGGAACUGAGACACGGUCCAGACUCCUACGGGAGGCAGCAGUAGGGAAUCUUCCGCAAUGGGCGAAAGCCUGACGGAGCAACGCCGCGUGAGUGAUGAAGGUCUUCGGAUCGUAAAACUCUGUUAUUAGGGAAGAACAAAUGUGUAAGUAACUAUGCACGUCUUGACGGUACCUAAUCAGAAAGCCACGGCUAACUACGUG